UGUCCAGGGAUGGGAAUCGAACCCACAGUGUUCCGCUUACCGGGAAGAUGCCAUGUCCACUGGCCUAACCUGGAC
rnacentral:tRNA from 1 species